UCCCUGGUGGUCUAGUGGUUCAGGAUUUGGCACUGUCACUAUUGUGGCUCAGGUUCAAUCCCUGGCCUGGGAA
rnacentral:tRNA from 1 species